GUGAAUCAUCGAAUUUUUGAACGCACAUUGCACUCUCUGGUAUUCCGGAGAGUAUGCCUGUUUGAGGGUCAGUUUACCUAAAAAUCGGUGUGGUUGCUGCCUUUCGUGGUGACGCACCGGAUGUGGGUCGUCCCGCCUUCGGUCAAGUGACCUAAAAUUUCGCAUGAUUUUUUCGAAAGUAUUUAAAUGAUUUUUCGUACGUUUGCGAUUUUGAUUACUAGGUGC
rnacentral:misc_RNA from 1 species